GGCAGCAUCAGUUUAUCAGGCGGCCUGCGGUGCACUUACAGCUCAAACUGUGAAGCCAUAUUGUUGUAAGGUUGAUGAAAAAUGAGGUCAUGGCCUGUUUCAGUAUGAAGUGGGGGAAGGGGAAGCUUGCUUUCACCAAGAUCAAUCUGUACACUGUUGUCACAGGUAAAACAAAAUUAACAUAUAAUACAAAUAUUAGCAUCAUAUCAUUGUGACAUUCAGCGUUGUUUAGUUUCUGUUUUAGUUGGUUUAGUGAAAACCAGUAACCUCGUAUUGUAGGUACUCAUCUGUCACACAGAAAUCACACAAACUUCCAUAUAUACACUUCUUAUUGAUUGGCAGGUCAUUCCUGUUGCCAGCCUAUCUUUAUUGUUCAGAACUCUAACAAUUGUUUCAUUCUGCAAUUUAAUGUAUUAGACAUUAAAUGUUAAU